rnacentral:rRNA from 1 species
UACGUAGGGGGCGAGCGUUGUCCGGAAUUAUUGGGCGUAAAGAGCUCGUAGGCGGUUCGGCAAGUCACGUGUGAAAUCUCCACGCUCAACGUGGAGGCGCCACGUGAGACUGCUGUGACUCGAGUCCGGUAGGGGAGCGUGGAAUUCCCGGUGUAGCGGUGAAAUGCGCAGAGAUCGGGAGGAACAUCAGUGGCGAAGGCGGCCAUCUGGGACAACACUGACGCUGAAGCACGAAAGCGUGGGGAGCAAACAGG